rnacentral:rRNA from 1 species
UGGGGAAUCUUGCGCAAUGGGCGAAAGCCUGACGCAGCGACGCCGCGUGGGUGAUGAAGGCCCUCGGGUUGUAAAGCCCUGUGGGGAGGAACGAACCGCUCGGGGGUGAAUACCCUCCGAGCUUGACGGUACCUCCUUAGCAAGCAUCGGCUAACUCUGUGCCAGCAGCCGCGGUAAGACAGAGGAUGCGAACGUUGCUCGGAAUUACUGGGCGUAAAGCGCGCGCAGGUUGCCCUGUAAGUCGUGUGUG